ensembl:lncRNA
AUGCACGUUCAGCAGAUGGCAGGUGAGGGAGCGGAUGCAGGGGCUCCCAUGGAGGGGCUCCCACGAGCCACGGUAGCCUCAGAGCCAGCCCCAGCACAGACCCCCUCAACCUCACAGGAGCUCCAACCCAGCCACACACCACCAGCAGACACAGACAGUGCAGCAGCACCAGCAAUGUCUAAAGAAUCCCUGUCCAGGCCAGCAGAAGAAGGCGGCCCCUCGGCCUCAGAGGUUGUGACCCUUGGGGAUGACAGGAGCGCAUCAUCAGAGGACGUGUCAACCAGCUCUCAGCCUGACGAAGGCCUCGAUGCCAAGGUGGAGAGGUAGGACCUAUAUAUACACACACAACGGAGGUGGGAUAAAAGGUUGAAAAUGGCUUUCUUUUCAAACUGAAACCUUUCCUUCUGUAGGUUAACAAAGAAACUGGAGGAAAGACGGGAGCAGAAAAAGAAAGGAGAGGAGGAGGUAAAGAAUAACUGUAGACAUUGGUGUCCCAUAUUGACACCACAGUAAUAAUAAUAAUAAUAGAAUCGCCUGGCCUUUCAGCCUAUAAGUAUCCAUUAGAGAACGUUGUCUUGCGGCUCCAUAAGCAUAUGUCCGGCCUCGUUGGAUCCCCCUCCCAACCAAUGAUGGGUCAACAUUCUAACAGUCUAAUAAAUACAUUUCUUAUAUGCUAUGGGAAGAAUAAUCAUGUGGUUGAGUUUAUGAAGGUCUUAGGUAACAUUAGAAUAUGAAAAAAGCUAUUUCAAAGAACAUAAUGCAAGUUUCAUUAGUUUGUUACUCUAGGCUAUAAGUACAAUUGAAAAACCACUAGUUCAAGAGUUAAAUCCAUCACAAAGAAACCCUUUUUUUUAUUUUUGGCAGGUCCAAAAAACAUUGUGGAAAUAAUAACAUUUAUAUAAAAAUAGACAGAAUAGCAUAUUUUAUGUUUAUUAUGUUACUAGUCUUUACUUAGCAUCCUGAGCAAUGCUGCCCCAAGGAAAGCGCGGUUAUGCUUUGAAAAAGUAAUAUUUGGAAAUAGAGCUGCAGCUCUUGAAUUGAGUUAUUUGACAAAAGUGUCUUAGAAACUGCAGAAUAUGCUAUUGCUGAUACAAUCAGUUUUACCUGAAUGUGACUCUGAAGGAAAAUUUGAUAAAGUGGUGCUCCUUUCUCUGUCAAUUCCAAGAUGUGCCCAUCUUCAUGUACAAUUUGACAACUGAUAUUGUCACUCAUCAUACUAUUGUCAAUUUAGUCUUGUCUUUAGGCUAACUCUUAUGUGUGAAAUUAGUUACUGAUUGUAUCGGACUCUGUAUUGUUCCCCAACCGUGCCUUUACGCAUGAAUCAAUCUCGUCUUCUCUACUCUAUGCUCUCGAUUUCAGUCACAAUGGCCACAAUUCUUCAUCAUUACACACAAUUAAAUCACCCUCUUCUCCCUCAUCAUUCAGUUAUGCCUAAUUUAAAUACAUUUGUGAAGUAAUGUGCACAAUUAUCAGUUUCUAUCAACCAUUCGUCCAUUUAGCCUAUGUAAUUAAUUCAGUGAGUCUCUUCUUCUUUUUUUUUUUUUUUUUUUCCUUUGUGAGAGCGACGCACAUGGCUGGGUACCAACGUCCUACCGCACAUUUGCCCUGGCCGUUAAGGUGGGAAUAGGUGUGUGUGUGUGUGUGUGUGUGGGGGGGGGGGGGGCAGGUGAAAAAAAGCCCUUAAUUAACACUACUAUUUGUGAUUAGAAAAGUCUGACAAAUGAGCAAUGUAAAAGACAAACACUUAAAGAAAUUUCAAGGGCAGGACGUUGCUUCUUUUUUGGCGACUUCCUUUUACUUACAAAAUCAAACGUCAGUGGCCAUUGGCCUAUGGCGAUUCUGAUGUUAAUGCUUGUGUGCACCUGUAUCUAUUUUCUGUGUGAUGAUGGUCAGGGUGAAAUAAAGAAGGAAUGGAGAGAAGGAGAUGGGGAAGGAGAUGCUUGACUUCAAGGGAAGAAUGAGGAUGAGAAGACCAAACGCAUUAUGGAUGAGCGAAACAGGGAUAAGGCAGGGAGAAGGCUGCCAGGGAGCGUGUCAAAGCACAGAUCGCCCUGGUAAACAAACACAUCACACUUUCACUCAUAACUAAUCCCUGGUUGGGCCUCUGAUUGAACUUUCUCUCAUAACUCCCUCUAGUGCCUAAAUGAGCACUGCAGAGUUUGAUGAAAUAGCCAUUGUUUGUUGUGGGAGGAGGUGUGGCUGGCUGAUGCACCUAUCCAUCCACGGACCGUGCUGACAGAGCUGCCCGCUAUGCCAACAACAAGGAUGAGGUGGAGGCAGCCCGGCUGGCAGCACUGCAGGCCAGACAGGCAGAGACACAGGCCAAGAAGGAGAAUGCACAAAGGGAGAGGAGGUAUGGAGCUAUUCUACAGUCACAGGGCUGGGGGGGGGGGGGAUUAGUUUUU